AGAGAGAGAGAGAGAGAGAGAGAGAGGUGGGUAUGUGGGGAAUGGGGAUGUCGUCGUCGUCGUCGUCACCACCAUCAUCGCGGUAAGUAUAUGCGAAAAAGAGGCUUUCCUUUUACCCUCCCUUCUCUUUUCUUCUUUUUCCCCAUUUGUUUAUUGGAUGGAGUUUGGCCAACCAUCAACUGUUUGAUGUUUGCUUUCCAUCCCAAUGGGAGGAGGGACUUCUCAUCUCAUCACACACUCUCCCCUCCCACCUUUUAACAGCCCAUUUGCUGCUGCUCCUGCUCUUGUUCUUUUCCUCCUUUUCAGUCGCACUGUGAUG
rnacentral:lncRNA from 1 species